GAAGUUAAUUUAUUAAUUUUUUAAAAUUUUAUUGUUUUUUAAAAUAAUAAUAAUAAUAAAAUUGUUUUAGUUUAAAUAAUAACAAAUAAUUAAAUUUAUAGAAAAUUAGUAUAUUUAUAGAAUAAUGAAAUAAAUUAAAUUUAAACUAUAUAAAAUUUAAUUUAAAUUAUUGUAUUUUGGGUAUCAAAGAAUAUUAAUUAAAUUUUAUAUAAUUUAAUUAUCUCGAAAUUUAAAGAGUUAAUUAAUUAAUUUAGUUAUUAUAGUAUAAAUAUUAAUAAUAGUUAAUUAGAAAUGAAAUGUUAAUCGAUUUAAAUUAUAUCUGGUUUUUUAAGAAAUAAAUUUAAUUUAAUUAAUUAUAUAAAAAUUUUAAGUAUUUAAAAUUUUUAAUUAAUUAGUUAUUUAAUGGGGGAUAAGCUUCUUUAAAGAUUUAUAUAAAAUUAUUUAAAUUAUAAAAAAUUAUAAGAGUAUAAUUAUUUUGUAAUUAAAAUUUUUUAUAAAUUAUUUUUUUAAAAUAUAAUUUAAUAAUUUUAAUUAAUUUUAUAUUAAAAUAAUAAUUUAAAUUAUUAAAAUUUUAUAAUAAUGAUGUUAUUAGUAUGAUUAUUUUAAUUUUAUAAUAAUAAAAAUUUGAUUAAAUUUAUGAAUUCGGCCAAAUUAUAUUCGCCUGUUUAUCAAAAACAUCUCUUUUUGAUUUAAUAAUAUAAGGUUUAACCUGCCCCCUGAAUUUAAUUUAAAGGGCCGCAGUAUUUAAUUGUGCAAAGGUAGCAUAAUAAUUAGUCUUUUAAUUGAGGACUAGAAUGAAUGGUUGAACGAAAUAUAAGCUUUUUUAGUUUAAUAAACAAAAUUUAAUUUUUAGUUAAAACUCUAAAAUGAUUUUAAAAGACAAGAAGACCCCGUAGAUCUUCAUAUUUAUUUAAUAAUAUAAAGUUAUUUUAUAGGUAUUAUAUUGGGGUGAUUAAAAAAUUUAAUAAACUUUUUUAAAAUUUUUAACAAAAAUUUUUGAUUUAAUAUAUGAUUUAUUUAUAAUAAUUAUUAGAAAAGAUACCUUGGGGAUAACAGCGUUAUUAUAAUUUUAAGUUCUUAUUAAAAUUAUAGAUUGCGACCUCGAUGUUGGAUUAAAAUUUAAUUUAAAUGCAGGAGUUUAAGGUUUAGGUCUGUUCGACCUUUAAAAUUUUACAUGAUCUGAGUUCAAACCGGCGUGAGCCAGGUUGGUUUUUAUCUUUAAAAAAUUAAAAUAAUUUAGUACGAAAGGAUUAGUUAUUUAAAAUAAUUUUUAAAAUUUGAUUAUUAAUA
rnacentral:rRNA from 1 species